AGUAGCUGGUCUGAGAGGAUGGUCAGCCACACUGGGACUGAGACACUGCCCAGACUCCUACGGGAGGCUGCAGUCGAGAAUCUUUAGCAAUGGACGAAAGUCUGACUAUGCGACGCCGCGUGAAGGAUGAAGGUUUUCGGAUCGUAAACUUCUUUUGUCAGGAAAGAACAUCAUUAACUCUAACAGAGUUGAUGACUGACGGUACCUGGCGAAUAAGCCACGGCCAACUCCGUGCCAGCAGCCGCGGUAAUACGGAGGUGGCAAGCGUUACUCGGAAUUAUUGGGUGUAAAGGGUAAGUAGGCGGCCUAUUAAGUGAGGGGUGAAAUCUUCCGACUCAAUCGGAAAACUGCCUUUCAAACUAAUAGACUUGAGAUUGGAAGAGGGAAACGGAAUUAGCAGUGUAAGGGUGAAAUCUGUAGAUAUUGCUAAGAACACCGGCGGCGAAGGCGGUUUCCUGGUCCUAUUCUGACGCUAAAUUACGAAAGCUAGGGUAGCAAACAAAUUAGAUACUCUGGUAGUCCUAGCUGUAAACGAUGAGUACUAGGUGUUGGCCCUUCGGGGUCAGUGCCGCAGCUAACGCAUUAAGUACUCCACCUGGGGACUACGGCCGCAAGGCUAAAACUCAAAGGAAUUGACGGGGACCCGCACAAGCGGUGGAACAUGUGGUUUAAUUCGAUGCUACGCGAAGAACCUCACCAAGGCUUGACUUGCUCGUCGUAUUCUCCUGAAAGGGAGAAGUCAUUUAGUUGGACGAUGCACAGGUGCUGCAUGGCUGUCGUCAGCUCGUGUCGUGAGAUGUUGGGUUAAGUCCCGCAACGAGCGCAACCAUUGCCCCAUGUUGCUACCAUACUUUAGAUCUUCGGAUCUUGGUGUGCGCACUCUUGGGGGACUGCCCGGGAUAACCGGGAGGAAGGUGGAGAUGACGUCAAGUCAGUACGGCCCUUAUGCCUUGGGCUACACACGUGUUACAGUGGACGGUACAAAGGGUUGCCAACCCGCGAGGGGGAGCUAAUCUCAAAAAGCCGUCCUCAGUUCGGAUUGGAGUCUGCAAUUCGACUCCAUGAAGCCGGAAUCGCUAGUAAUGGGAGAUCAGCUCGCUCCCGUGAAUACGUUCCCGAGUCUUGUACACACCGCCCGUCAAGCGAUGAAAGCUGGGGGUACCCGAAGUCCUAUGUAGAUAGGCCGAAGGUAAAACUGGUGAUUGGCGCUAAGUCGAAACAAGGUA
rnacentral:rRNA from 1 species